UGGAGAAAUGUGACAUGGGAACAAAGCUACCUUUAAGUGUAAAGGCUUGAAGUCUUGUAUAAUCAAUAAUGCAAGAGAGAAGCAGGUCUGUAAAACAGGUUGUUAGACGUCAUAUUGCUUUCUCACUCGUGUCUCGUGUCGCUUUGUUCGUUACCAAGAUGAGCGUGUUGCAGUGAUUUUAGGUUAUGUUGACCGUGCCCGAACAAUUGACAGUUUCGUUUGGCCGAGAACAGAAGUGUCCAGCUGCUGCUGCAGUAAUUUUGAUCAACACCUUUUCCUCAUGCUGUCCCGCUAAUGAAGAAGGGUUUGGUGGAAGAGGUAGUUGGUUGUCAUGCGGGUAGUGGCGAGAAGGCUUACGAGACUGUCGUAAGAGGACGUGUCUAAACA